GUCAGUCUUUCUGAACGGAUGACCUCCAGAGCCCUUUUUAUAUGAGCUCUGUCUGUGCCUUUGUGGCGGACGAGGUGCAGAGCUGCUUCCAGCCCCCUGCAGCCACCCUACCAGUCCCCCCUGUCCUCGGGGUGGCCGUUUCAACCACACUACCAGCUGACAUCCAAGCAGGUGAGUAGCACUGAUAGAGAGCACUCUGACAGAUGCAUGUUCUGAUGACCACUUUGUUCCUUGUAGUAGUAGAGCUCAUCAGGAAUGUUGUUGUCACCCAUAACACAGACCCGGCUUCUUCCCACCUCGAGGUUGUAGACAUCACCCCUAACACAGAGGCAGAUCAGGCUUCUUUCCACCUGGAGGUUGUGGACAUCACCCGUAAGACAGAGGCAGACCCGGCAUCUUCCCACCUGGAGGUUGAGGACAUCACCACUAACACAGAGGCAGACCCGGCAUCUUCUAGCCUGGAGGUUGUGGACAUCACCAGUAACACAGAGGCAGAUCAGGCUUCUUCCCACCUGGAUUUUGUGGACAUCACCAGUAACACAGAGGCAGAUCCGGCUUCUUCCCACCUGAAUGUUGUGGACAUCGCCUCUAAUACAGAGGCAGAUCCGGCUUCUUCCCACCUGAAUGUUGUGGACAUAACCCCUAAUACAGAGGCAGAGCCCAUCUCUUCCCUCUUGGAGGUUGUGGACGUCACACCUGAAGAAAGGACUCUCACGAUGGCCGUCUCCGCCACUCUGCCAGCUGACAUCCAAGCAGACCCGGCUUCUUCCCUCCUGGAGGUUGAGGAUAUCACCCCUAAUACAGAGGCAGACCCGGCAUCUUCCCACCUGGAGUUUGAGGACAUCACCUGUAAGACAGAGGCAGAUCCGGCUUCUUCCCAAC
rnacentral:lncRNA from 13 species